AGUGAACGCUGGCGGCAGGCCUAACACAUGCAAGUCGAACGGCAGCACAAGAGAGCUUGCUCUCUGGGUGGCGAGUGGCGGACGGGUGAGGAAUGCAUCGGAAUCUGCCCAUUUGUGGGGGAUAACCUCGGGAAACCGGGACUAAUACCGCAUACGACCUACGGGUGAAAGCAGGGGAUCUUCGGACCUUGCGCAGAUGGAUGAGCCGAUGCCGGAUUAGCUAGUUGGUGGGGUAAAGGCCCACCAAGGCGACGAUCCGUAGCUGGUCUGAGAGGAUGAUCAGCCACACUGGGACUGAGACACGGCCCAGACUCCUACGGGAGGCAGCAGUGGGGAAUAUUGGACAAUGGGAGCAAGCCUGAUCCAGCCAUGCCGCGUGUGUGAAGAAGGCCUUCGGGUUGUAAAGCACUUUUGUUGGGAAAGAAAAGCAGCCGGUUAAUACCCGGUUGUCAUGACGGUACCCAAAGAAUAAGCACCGGCUAACUUCGUG
rnacentral:rRNA from 1 species